GAACGAAUUCCUGGUUUUGCUUUGCUUGGGGGAGCGAGCGAGCGGCUGUGUAGGGCUGAGUUGCCGGCUGAGGUUAAACCACGAAAACUUGCUACAUGCUUAAGUCUUGGUGGACAGAGGGAGAGUGAAAAGAGAAUCACGGCUGGUCUGGCUCAGGGCGUCUGCGCCUGGGUCCUGCCUCCACGCCGCUGCCCAGCUCUCGCUGGACUUCAGCGAUGCUCCUGAAAAGGACUUUGCUACCCUAGAGAAAGUAUGAACAGAGGCACACAGGAACAGACGCUUUCUCAGAAUUCAAAAAUUCUUUAUGUAAAACAUGGCUCUGCCACACAGCCUAAAUUUUGAAUGAGUUCUUAAACCACAGAAUAUCUCAUUUUCAGCUGGGUUUCAUGACUCUAUCAAAGAGGAAGUUAGCUGUGAGAAGCAUAUGACCAUGAGACUAUACUUGGCUGGACUGACAUCAAAAGAAGUGACUUUUGGGCACACACAGAUUUUUAAAAUCACUGCUUCAGUACAGUCACAUUUAGAUUUUUUUUUUUUUCCAGUGUAGACCAUAUAGUGAGCUAUUCUUGUGGACUGAACGACAUUCUAAGUCCCAUGAUGUAUGCAUGACACGGACUUGCCACUGCUGCUACAUUCCUUCAGUUCAACAGCCGUGUGAAAGCUGUAUCAUCCUGAGCUAAAAAAGGUCAAAAAAUAGCUUUAUCUCAAGAGAGAUAGCCUGCAAAUUAAUGCUUAGCCAUGUAAACUCAAAUCACAUGUGUGUGUAUUUAUAUGUAUAUGUAUAUAUAUAUGCAUACACACAAACAGAUAUAUAUACACAACAGCAUUGUAUUAUUCAAUACAGAUAUAUUUUAAUUUCAUUUUCUUAUAAUUAAAAAAAUAAAUAACACAAACAAGUCCAUCUCCUUUUUUUUCCUUAAAGAGCAGUAAAAGAACUAAGCAUAUGACAUAACAGAUUAAAUCUUGGGGAAUACACAA